rnacentral:misc_RNA from 1 species
GAUGAAGAACGUAGUGAAAUGCGAUACUUGGUGUGAAUUGCAGAAUCCCGUGAACCAUCGAGUCUUUGAACGCAAGUUGCGCCCGAAGCCUCGGCUAAGGGCACGUCUGCCUGGGCGUCACGCAUCGCGUCUCCCCCAAACCGCCAAGGCGGAGGGGAAGGAAGAUGGCUUCCCGUGCCUCACCCGGCGCGGUUGGCCUAAAUUUGGAGCCCGCGGCACUUAGCUCACGCGGCGAUAGGUGGUGAACAAGGCCUUGGCCGUGCAAACAACCCGCUGCGAAGCUCUAUGUCACGUGCGCUCGUCGGACCCUUUGAAGUUGCCUUCGGUGACUUAAAACCUUUGCGACCCCAGGUCAGGCGGGGCUACCCGCUGAAUUUAAGCAUAUCAAUAAGCGGAGGA